GGGGAGGAAUCGUCGCCUCCUCAACAAAAUGUUGAUACAUCUACUCCUUCGAGCCCCCGUGCCCCUUCACCAAAAAGGGCACGGGUUGAAAAGAUUGUUGAUCCUGCCCCUCAGUUGGGCAGUUCGUCGCCCCCGCUCCUAGAUGAUCCUAUGAUCAAGGAUCUUCUCCGCAUCGGUUCCCAAUUUAUUGGGUACCGUGAAUAUGCUAAUAGAGCCGAAGAGAAACUUGCAGAGGCUAACGAACGCGCCGACGCACUGGCUCAAAAACUUGAGCAAAGUGAGGCGGCUCGCAAGAAAGCCGAACUCGCUGCUAGCAAAGCCAAGGUCGAAGCUGAUGAAGC